GACGAACGCUGGCGGCAUGCCUAACACAUGCAAGUGGAGCGACGACCCGGACUUCGGUCCGGUGCAAAGCCGCGAACGGGUGAGUAACACGUGGGUUACCUGCCCCGAUGACCGGGACAACCCGUCGAAAGACGGGCUAAUACCGGAUGUGCCCGCAAGGGGAAAGGAAGCUUCGGCCUCCGCAUCGGGAUGGGCCCGCGGUGCAUUAGCUAGUUGGUGGGGUAAAGGCCUACCAAGGCGACGAUGCAUAGCUGGUCUGAGAGGACGAUCAGCCACACUGGGACUGAGACACGGCCCAGACUCCUACGGGAGGCAGCAGUGGGGAAUCUUGCACAAUGCGCGAAAGCGUGAUGCAGCAAUGCCGCGUGUGGGAAGAAGGGCUUCGGCUCGUAAACCACUUUCAGUUGGGACGAAGCUGUCGCCGUUAAUAGCGGUGUGCAGUGACGGUACCUUCACAAGAAGCCCCGGCUAACUACGUGCCAGCCGCCGCGGUAAAAC
rnacentral:rRNA from 1 species